rnacentral:rRNA from 1 species
CCUGGUCUUGACAUCCACGGAAGUUUUCAGAGAUGAGAAUGUGCCUUCGGGAACCGUGAGACAGGUGCUGCAUGGCUGUCGUCAGCUCGUGUUGUGAAAUGUUGGGUUAAGUCCCGCAACGAGCGCAACCCUUAUCCUUUGUUGCCAGCGGUUAGGCCGGGAACUCAAAGGAGACUGCCAGUGAUAAACUGGAGGAAGGUGGGGAUGACGUCAAGUCAUCAUGGCCCUUACGACCAGGGCUACACACGUGCUACAAUGGCGCAUACAAAGAGAAGCGACCUCGCGAGAGCAAGCGGACCUCAUAAAGUGCGUCGUAGUCCGGAUUGGAGUCUGCAACUCGACUCCAUGAAGUCGGAAUCGCUAGUAAUCGUGGAUCAGAAUGCCACGGUGAAUACGUUCCCGGGCCUUGUACACACCGCCCGUCACACCAUGGGAGUGGGUUGCAAAAGAAGUAGGUAGCUUAACCUUCGGGAGGGCGCUUACCACUUUGUGAUUCAUGACUGGGGUGAAGUCGUAACAAGGUAACCGUAGGGGAACCUGC